rnacentral:misc_RNA from 1 species
UUUCCGUAGGUGAACCUGCGGAAGGAUCAUUAAUGAGUUGUCAUGGGGUUCGAUGCUGGCAGCCAAUUUCUGGAUGCAUGUGCUUGCCCUAACAAUCAUCUUCCAAACACCUGUGCACAUUUUUGAGGGAGUCUUGAGUUGGUUGCCGCUCUUGGGUGAUUUUCUCACAUUCCCUUAAAUCAUUAUACGCUAUUAACAAUGUUGAACGUGCUCUGUGCCGCAAGGCUAUUAAUAUAAUACAACUUUUAACAACGGAUCUCUUGGCUCUC